GACGAACGCUGGCGGCGUGCCUAAUACAUGCAAGUAGGACGCAGUUGCGAACGGGUGAGUAACGCGUAGGUAACUACCUAUUAGAGGGGGAUAACUAUUGGAAACGAUAUCUAAUACCGCAUACUAGUAGAUGGACCUUCGUUGUAUUAGCUAGUAGGUAGGGUAAUGGCCUAACUAGGCAACGAUACAUAGCCGACGUGAGAGGGAGAUAGGCCAAAAUGGGAAUGAGGAACGGGCCAGAAUCCCACGGGAGGCAGGAGUAGGGAAACUUCGGAAAUGGGGGGAACCCUGACCGAGCAACGCCGCGGGAGUGAAGAAGGUUUUCGGAUCGUAAAGCUCUGUUGUUAAGGAAGCGGUACUUAACCAGAAAGGGACGGCUAACUACGUGCCAGCAGCCGCGGUAAUAC
rnacentral:rRNA from 1 species